rnacentral:rRNA from 1 species
ACAAGCGGUGGAUGAUGUGGAUUAAUUCGAUGCAACGCGUAAGAACCUUACUACCCUUGACAUGUCCGGAACUUGCCAGAGAUGGCUUGGUGCCCGAAAGGGAACCGGAACACAGGUGCUGCAUGGCUGUCGUCAGCUCGUGUCGUGAGAUGUUGGGUUAAGUCCCGCAACGAGCGCAACCCUUGUCCUUAGUUGCUACGCAAGGGCACUCUAAGGAGACUGCCGGUGACAAACCGGAGGAAGUGGGGAUGACGUCAAGUCCUCAUGGCCCUUAUGGUAGGGCUUCACACGUCAUACAAUGGUCGGUACAGAGGGUUGCCAAGCCGCGAGGUGGAGCCGAAUCCCACAAAGCCGAUCGUAGUCCGGAUUGUUCUCUGCAACUCGAGAGCAUGAAGUCGGAAUCGCUAGUAAUCGCAGGUCAGCAUACUGCGGUGAAUACGUUCCCGGGUCCUU